AAUAAAUAAAUCUUGGUUUCCGUGUCCAAUAUUUGACCGUCCGUCUUAUUUGAAAAAAAUAUGAAGAAAAUUAAAAAGAUAAGUCACAUAUAAAGUAUUAAUCAUGUUUUAUUAACUAACAGUAAUGAAAAUACUAAUUAUAAAAAAAUUUCAUAUAAGAUAAACAGUCAAAUGUUGGUACGAAAAUUUAGGUUUUGACUUUUU
rfam:Oryza sativa (indica cultivar-group) chromosome 1, whole genome shotgun sequence.